GACGUGGCGAUAGCACGAUCAAGGCACCAGUUCCCGAUGGGCCACUGAAGUUAGGCAACGUUGUACGUGGUUGGUAUCCGCAUAGGUGACCUUCUGGAUAAAACGUGUGUUGUUGGCU
rnacentral:rRNA from 1 species